rnacentral:snRNA from 1 species
AGGUCCUUCUGACUCCAGGGCCAGUGUCCUAUCCACUGCAUCGCCCAGCUGCCCUGUGUGCACUCUUCCUGAAGCUGUUCUCUUAAUUAAGGAGCAAAUCCUUUCCUUAUAGAGGAGGUACAUUGUUUAGUUUGAGUAUCUGUGUUUUCCUACUAGCACUUUUCAAAUAAGAUCUCAAGGAUCAUUUGCAAGUAGAAAAAUACCUUGCUUCCAUUUCUCUGAGUUGUGAAUCUGG